rnacentral:rRNA from 1 species
AGAGUUUGAUCCUGGCUCAGGAUAAACGCUGGCGGCGUGCAUAAAACAUGCAAGUCGAACGAGUGCCCGCAAGGGUGCUAGUGGCGGACGGCUGAGUAACACGUAAGUGACCUACCCUUGACUGGGGAAUAACUGCUCGAAAGAAUGGCUAAUACCGCAUAAUCUCACGGUUUCGUUAUUGUGAGGAAAGCAGCGAUGUGCUCGGGGAUGGGCUUGCGGCCGAUUAGCUAGUUGGUGGGGUAAAGGCCUACCAAGGCGAUGAUCGGUAGCUGGUCUGAGAGGAUGAUCAGCCAGACUGGAACUGCGACACGGCCCAAACUCCUACGGGAGGCAGCAGUUAGGAAUUUUGCGCAAUGGACGAAAGUCUGACGCAGCAACGCCGCGUGGAGGACGAAGGCCCUCGGGUCGUAAACUCCUUUUCUAGGGRAAGAUAGUGACGGUACCCUAGGAAUAAGCCCCGGCUAACUACGUGCCAGCAGCCGCGGUAAUACSUAGGGGGCGAGCGUUGUCCGGAUUUAUUGGGCGUAAAGAGCGCGUAGGCGGCUUGCCAAGUCGUGCGUGAAAUACCUCGGCUCAACCGGGGGGAGUCGUGCGAUACUGGUAGGCUUGAGGCCGGUAGGGGGAAGUGGAAUUCCCGGUGUAGUGGUGGAAUGCGUAGAUAUCGGGAGGAACACCAGUGGCGAAGGCGGCUUCCUGGACCGGUCCUGACGCUGAGGCGCGAAAGCGUGGGGAGCGAACUGAAUUAGAUACUCAGGUAGUCCACGCUGUAAACGAUGGAUGCUAGGUGUCGGGGGUAUCGACCCCUCCGGUGCCGCAGCUAACGCAUUAAGCAUCCCGCCUGGGGAGUACGGCCGCAAGGCUAAAACUCAAAGGAAUUGAUGG